UGGGGAAGGCUUGGCAGGGAAGA
rnacentral:miRNA from 1 species